rnacentral:rRNA from 1 species
UACAGAGGUCCCAAGCGUUGUUCGGAUUCACUGGGCGUAAAGGGUGCGCAGGUGGGUUUGCAAGUUCGAUGUGAAAGCCCCGGGCUUAACCCGGGAAUGGCAUUGGAUACUGCAGAUCUGGAGGAUCGGAGGGGGGACUGGAAUUCUUGGUGUAGCAGUGAAAUGCGUAGAUAUCAAGAGGAACACCAGUGGCGAAGGCGGGUCUCUGGGCAACAACUGACGCUGAGGAGCGAAAGCGUGGGGAGCGAACAGG